rnacentral:rRNA from 1 species
ACGUAGGCAGCGAGCGUUGUUCGGAGUUACUGGGCGUAAAGGGUGUGUAGGCGGUUUUCUAAGUUUGGUGUGAAAUCUCCCGGCUUAACCGGGAGGGUGCGCCGAAAACUGGGAGACUAGAGUGCGGGAUGGGAGAGUAGAAUUCCUGGUGUAGCGGUGAAAUGCGUAGAUAUCAGGAGGAAUACCGGUGGUGCAGACGGCUCUCUGGACCGCAACUGACGCUGAGACACGAAAGCGUGGGUAGCAAACAGGA